AGCCAGUCACCCACAUCUCACUCUGCCCGAGGUUCCCUCUCAGUCCCCUGCUUUCUGCAGCCCUCACCUCCCCUUGUGUCCCCUCUUCCCCCUCAGCCAUGUCCCGUCUGCCCUGGUCGCUCCCUGCUGUUCCCAGCCCCGGGGCGGCAGAGGCCGAGGGCAGAGCCCUGAGGGCAGGGCUGUGGCCAGACCCAGCCUCCCCUUCCUGCGGGCACCGCGGCUCUCCCCAGCCAGCCCUCAAAAAGGCAGCACGGCUGCACGGGCUCCACGAGAAGACAGAAAUGAACCUGGAUGCUUUGUUCCAGCAAAUACAGUUCACAGAGAAGCAGGCGAGGGAGAAGAGGCACUUCAUCCAGCAAGCUAAAUGUGACAUAAACAGAAGCCAUGAAAAAAUUAACCAAAUAAAAGAAGAGCUGAGCGCUGCAAAAGUUAACUUAGAAACUAAGGUUCAGCAUCUGUCUGAAAAGCAGUUCUACUUAGAAAUUCUGAAGAAACGUGAAGAUAGCUUAGAAAAACAGAAAGCUGAACUUAUUAAUCAAAAAAGCAGUCUUCUUAAAGUGUUGACAGAUGCAAAGAGAAAAAUUGCUGAAGAGGAAGAUAAUUUUACCAGAGAAGUAACAGAGUUUAACAAUGAAUAUGGACUAACAAGUAAUAGAGAUCUUCUGAUUAAAAAAAAAGUCAAGACUGAAAUAAAGGAUUUAGAGAAUGAGGCAGCACUGCUGAAAAAUGAAAUGGAGUCAAUGGAACACAAAAAUGUUCAGUUAAAUGCACUCCAGCUGCAGAAGAAUGAGUUAAAGCAGGAUUUAUUUACUCUCCAAAGUGAACUCAAAGACCUUGAGAAAGUAAUCAGGGAGGCUGAAAGAAUGACAAAAGAUUUAGAAGCAGAAAAAGUCCAAGUAACUGAAAAACCUCAGACUGAUCCUGAAUGUUUAAGACUUAAGAAAGAAUUGGAAAAAUGCAAAGAUGAUAGUUGGGAAAGUGUCUGUGAGACUCUUCAAGCAGAAAUUGAAAUUCUGCAAAUGAAUUUGUCACAAAAGAAGUCUUCAGGCAAGUGAAUAAUAUGUGACAUGUGAUAUGGAGUGUCACAGAAGCAAGUCUGAGUGGAGAGUGAACCAACUGCCUUAAGACAGUCAUCUUCAGUUUGAUAAUGGUUUGUGACACAAGAAAGGAUUUUCCCACUGACUGAGCUGAAGUUAAGAGAGAGGGGCCUGUCCUGAAGCUUAUGAAGCUGUCGGAGAAGAAAGAAGAGACAGGAGUGGAACUUCGAGGCAAGAGCCGAGAAGAAGAAGAGCAGCGGCGUCGAGCUCAAGA